CUAAAGGCGCUUGGGGAAACCCUUCUAACAUAACAAUAGAAGUUCCCCGCCUGGAGAAGCGAGAUCUACUGUGGUAGGAUUUUGUUCUAGAGUUUCCACUAGUUAUCCAGGUAAAAUGGACAUAAAUUCAUAUUCGAUGCCUUGACUUGAGUUUCGGAUUCAUUUGAACAAAAAUGAACUACCCCAUUACAAUAGGGUGACGGGCAGCCAAUCAGAUUGACUUUGUGCCGUUACGUAUUUGCCUUGGCGUAUAUCAAUCUGAUACGGCUCAGUGUGGAUGGCAGGCAGUCCUAUAAGUAUUAGUCUUGGUUUAGUCCAGUAAGAUAUAUAGGAGACUUUUCUAUCAUAUUCAUACCGUUCUGUUGGACCCGAGUCACUAUGACCAGGAGGAGAGCUCAAGUCAGUGGCAGGAAAAGGAUAUUUUAAAGGUAAUGAAGGAGUGGAAGAAAGGAUGAGUGGAGAACUACUUUUGUUUGGGAUUUUCCAGCUCCAAGUUCAUAUUAGGCCUUGUGCUUAUUCGCUCAUCAAGGAAACCUACGAGUACGUCUUUGACUUUGGUUUAGCUGGCCUUUAGCUAGCCCAUGGAUCAAAGCUAUUAUCUGGACCACCCUCAUGCUUCCACUUGGACAGGGAUAUUCAUUAUAUAUAGAAGGCAUCGCACUGGCCCUAGCGCCUGAUUCCUUUAGUAAUUAAUUUGACCUCUUCACCCGAAGUACCGCCGAUUGCUUUAAGCCUGGAAGGACACACAACCACGAAAGGAGAAACUCCAAGAGAUGAUUUCCUUAAGCUGGAGCAACGUUAAUCUUUUCUUUAAGCCAGUACCACAACACGAACCACGACCACGAAGG
rnacentral:lncRNA from 1 species